CGCUGUUUCAAAAGUGUUAAAUGACAUUAGCCUGGUUUGAGUGUUGAUUAUUCUUGGAACUAUUAUUAUUCGUGGAAUUCAUAGAAGUGGUCUAAAUGAACGAACAUGACAUCAGCAAAUAAUAAGACAAGAUUUUACACAUUUAUGAAAUUACUCACUAUGAAUGCGUUGUAUCUUUGCAGUAAGGCUCGCCUGAAUAGUUAAGUUGCAUGUAUGCUCAUCAUUCCGUCAGAAAGAGGUAAAAACUCGGGGCGAAGGGCUUUCUGGAAGCAAAUUUUUUUUUUUUCGAUUUUUUUUUUUUUAUGACAAUGAUUAGGGUGUAAGCAAUCCUCAUUUAGAUUAGCCAACAUUGGUUGUAUAUGCUAUGUAGGUACUUUUAACUCAAUUUUAAGUUGAAAAAUUUUUCAGUCCGUGCAUUUUUAUAUUGUGUAAGUUACCAGUUUGCUACUCACCAUACAAAUUAAUGUAAUUUCUUUCUCCACAGAUAUUUAAAUCAUAUUGUUAUUUAAAUUUUCAUUUAUUUAUUUAUUUAUUUAUUUUCGACUGAAAAUUAUUUCUCCAUAAAGAAAAAGAUGAUGAGGUCAGCCUUGAUGAAAUCAACCUGGAUUGGACCUUUUGGGAAAGCUGAGGAUUUGGUUCGACAAAUACAACAAAAGUGGACAAUGGAAGGAACAAUCAGAAAAAUUACUAUAAAAACUAGGCAAUGGAGAGGUAAAACCAUUAUACAAGGGUUUCAAGUCUGCGUUAGAGACGGGGAUGGUAGAGCUUUUGGAAUGAAUUAUAAUGAUCUCUACGAUACAGUAACAUUCACUAUCCCAGAUGAUAGACAAAUCAGCAAAAUAUGUAUUGAGUCUGAUGCUUACAUACACUCUCUUGGUUUCAUGCUUGAUAAUGGCGAUGUCUUAGGGCCUGUCGGAACUAGAAAUGAAGCCAAAGAGAAAACCGUACCUGAAGAUUGCAAUGAUCUCAAGAGUGUACUGUGCGGAAUAUCAGGUAUUACAGUUCGCAGUGAAAAAGUUCCUGUUAUUUCCAAUGUCAAGUUCAAUUUUCGUCAUUAACUAUUCUAAAAUUAAUACUGAUGAGUAACAAAUAAAUACAUUUUUUGACUGGUAUCUAUUGUGUUUCUUGUAUUUAACUGUAAAUUGUAUACUAAAGUUGCAAUGUUCAUACCAAUGCAACAUUCAUUGUUGCCGCAAUAUAUCCGAUUAUCGUGUUUCUGCAUCAUACAUAAAAUUUUUGUUUGUCUCUUGAUCUCACAAAACUGCAUUAUUUACUUAAUAUUCUCUUUUUGUGGGAACAAUAAUAUCUCAUUUUAUAAUCAAUAUUAAUGUGUUCACAUGUAAUGUUUUAUUUGUGUCAAUAAUUUAGUUGAUUAUGGUUAUGAUAUAUAAAAUGUGAGGAACUUUAGCCGGUAGCAGAGUUAUGAAGGUCAAGCCUUCCCUUCGACAACGUAAGCACGGCCUCAGACCGUGCCUUCAGUCUUACCACAAGUCGCUCGGGAAGGUAAAGUAAGAGGCACUACAACACACGUGGGUGUUGGUAACAGUGCUGUAUGAAUUGAAUCCGGAUCUGAGCACCAACUUGUGAAGGACGGCGUAAACACAGCCGCCCCUUGACCACCACGAGGCUCGCUCCCUGAUAGCUACAGUGAGAGGACCUGUCAGGCGUGCUCUUAUACCUAUUCAUAUCACAGCAAUCGGCGACUUUUGUGGUGUUGUCUCCCUCUCACAACAUCGCCGAGAUCCUUCGCCAUCCACCACAGGAAGGCAAAGGUUGUUUUGGAGGCUUUGGCCACCAAAAUAGUGACAUCCAGGGUGGCCGCCGGCAUGGACACCAUGAUUGAUGACCGCAUGGACACGGCCUUCGUCCCGACCUUCCCCAUCACCGCCAGCAAACGACAGCUUGCCUCACCACCAGAGGUAGGACACAAAACGCCACGCACCACCCAGAACGAACACCAGCACGCCGAAGAAGUGCGGGCCUCUUUCCUGCUGCGAGCUGCCGACGGAGCGAGGGUGUUUGCCAACCCCUCCCAUGUCUCCAAGGCACUCUAAGCCUCUGACCUGGGUAAGUACCUCCUUGAGGGGGAAACCUGCUCGCUGUGGAACGGUUCAGCGCUCGUUGUGACACUGUGGGAGCACAACACCCCCCCCAGUGUGCCACUCCUCCAAAAAACCCACUUUUGUCUGGCCGAGAAGGACGCUGACACUUACAAUGAUGUCAAGGUGGGGCCACUUGCAAAUGACACCAAUCUCCAGGACGUGUUGUGAGGCCUCAGACCCCUCGAUGGCAACGAGGUGAUCAAGUCAUCCUGGAUCGUCCCACACUGCCUUCUCAGGUAUGCUAAAGGCAAAUGUCCCGCCUCAAGGUGAGGGGCCAUACUCACCAAGGUAUGUGUCCUACAGCUGGUGUACUGGGCCAAACCGUACCUCCUGCCGCUAUCCCGCUGCCCUGGGUGCUAGAAGAUCAAGCAUUCGAUGAACACCUGCAGGUUGGCCACACGGUGCUCCUAAUAUAGUAGCCCACGUCCUUACUUCCAAAAGGAUGUUAUCUGCAACAGGAAACACCACAGCUUUCAAACGGGCCGCGUUUGAAAUACUGUCCCUUCAACCAGCAAGCCCAAAAGUUAUACACUACCCUUACGCAGGAGGGCAAGUCCCUCCAAAAAAAAAAAAAAAAAAAAAAAUGCUAAAGAAACUGCAGUGGUUCAAGUCCCAGGCACCCCGCAGGAUACCACCACCACCGCCCACCGCUGCACGCAUGGCCCCUCCUUCCACUGUCACGCCAGUCCAUCCUGCCACCUCCUACUCUGCCAUCAGCAGCAGGAACAGGUCAUCGCCACUGGUGGAACUCCAGGAGUGCUCUGAGCUGCGAGAGAUGUCGUCGCAUGGCUUGGGACUCCAUUACACGGAGGGAACCGCCGCCCCAUGGCUUCUCCUUUCCCUUCGCUGACACUGGUAGCUUGUCAAGAAUUAUCACCUCAUUUUUUUAAAACCAGAAGAGGGAGGCCUAACACAGUGUGUCGAAGCAGUUUAAUUCUCAUAACCUUGAGCCUGUACGGUCCAAGCGACACCUCAAGAAAGCCUGGGACCCUUUGAAAGAAAAGGAUUAAACAUGAGCAAGCUCUCUAGAUGAGGGAGCAGAAGAGGAGUAGUGGUGGGAUCCCUCCAUCUGCUGUGUCCUUGACAGAGACAUUGACGACAUUGGGAAUCCUCAUAAUUUAGAUGCCAUGCCAGCUUGUGCCAAGUCGCAUCAUCAUGGUCGACUCAUCCGAUACACUAAGUUUCUCUUCGGGAUUGACAGAAAGCUCCUACUUGACGGUGUGUGAGGUGGUCUCAAUAGAGCCCAUUCCUGAAGAGGUGGAAGAGGUAGAGGUGGAGGUUCCAACAGCAGGGCGGCCAAGUACCAGCCAACCAUCAGUCCCACAAAGGCCCAGCAAGCGUCAUAGACUUCAUGAUGACAUGUAUGUAGAUAAACGUAGUAAUUUUUUGAAGGAGAAGCAGAAGGUGGAAAAAGGAAUGAUGAAAAGAAAAGAACACUUAAGAUCAUCAAAGAAUAAUAGGUGGCUGCCACAAUAUAUCACAGACAACAGUCAGUGAAUGCCUUCAGUCUACUUCAAGAACAAUUGCCAGUAGGAGCAGGCAUCACAUCUUUCUUCCCUCUGGCAAUGAUUUGCAGCAAUGUGUUCAGGGCCAUUGGUUAUACCCACAUUGCUAUUUAUAAACCAUCAGUGGAUAAUUUUGAAGUGUUUUGUUGUCUGAAAGUUUUUUUUUUUUCUUUUCUCCCUAUCACUGUGCAAGGUGUAUGUGGGGCUGAGUCGAUGUUUUAUAAUGUUUUUGCUCAUUGGCCUGGGAGUGUCAUUGACAGUAGAUUUUUUUUUUUUUUUAAUAGUCAACUUUGGAAUACAAUCUUGAUCCUAGAUGCCAUGUACUUGGAGAUGCUGCUUAUGAACUGAAAUAAUUUGUAAUGACUCCAGUGUCAGCUCCAAGGGAUGCCCAUGGGAGAGCAUAUAACAAUAGCCAUUCUCACAUAAAAGUAACAGAAUGAGCAUUUGGUGUUCUUAAAAGAUUUGAUUAUUUUGGUAUGAAAUUUAGAACAGAUUUAGACACCACUAAAGCCAUCAUUGCUGCAUGUGUGAUGAUGCAUAAUAUAGGUGUUAAAAGUAGAUUGAUUUU